UACGGAGGAUGCGAGCGUUAUCCGGAUUUAUUGGGUUUAAAGGGUGCGUAGGCGGGCUUUUAAGUCAGCGGUAAAAAUUCGGGGCUCAACCCCGUCCGGCCGUUGAGACUGGGGGUCUUGAGUGGGCGAGAAGAAGGCGGAAUGCGUGGUGUAGCGGUGAAAUGCAUAGAUAUCACGCAGAACCCCGAUUGCGAAGGCAGCCUUCCGGCGCCCUACUGACGCUGAGGCACGAAAGUGUGGGCAUCAAACAGG
rnacentral:rRNA from 1 species